GUGGAUCUGACAUCGAGUGGAAAUAUACGUUUCUUGGAUUUCAUUAAAGUACAUCGGUUUUUGUUUGAAGAUGAAUGAGAGAACAUGAGGCACAGCGGCAUUCAAAUUGACCAAUCAGAGCCGAGAAUAUCUAAUAAGUAGAAGUAGAGAUGAACAGAUGAAGAUACAGCCCGUAAAAAUACUUAUUCUUGGUGAGUGCCAUGUAGCGACGGAUCAAACGGACACUCAUGUCAAGCUUGAUGAGGACACAGUCAAAGCUUUAAAAGACCUUGUGAUUAAGUCUUCAGUGUCUGAAUGGCAAGAAGAAGUG